rnacentral:rRNA from 2 species
UACGGAGGGUGCAAGCGUUAUCCGGAUUUACUGGGUUUAAAGGGUGCGUAGGUGGGUCUGUAAGUCAGUGGUGAAAUCUCCGGGCUUAACCCGGAAACUGCCAUUGAUACUAUAGGUCUUGAAUUAUCUGGAGGUAAGCGGAAUAUGUCAUGUAGCGGUGAAAUGCUUAGAUAUGACAUAGAACACCAAUUGCGAAGGCAGCUUACUACGGAUACAUUGACACUGAGGCACGAAAGCGUGGGGAUCAAACAGG